UGACUCGCGAGCACCGAAAAAAUUGCUCUUCGGCGAGCUGCCUAAUGGGGAAGAUCAAGGUCAAGGUCAAGGUCAAGGUCCUGUAUCGGAACAGAGAGGUAGCCGACAUUGUUCUUCCCGCAAGCGCUGGUUCCGCAGGGCCGGAGGUUUGGCGGUCCACAAGUGCCCCAACUCCCGGACGCUCCCCGCGACUUCAUCUCAGGCUCCAUGCUGGGCGGCGUUGUCUACCAUUGCCGCUCAGGCGACUCCUCCGCCGCCGCGUGUGCGGCUCGCCCUCUCAUGCUUCAAGGCCCACUGUGGGGUCUGUGGUCGGUGCUGCCGCUCUACUCGUGGAUUCCAAAUCCAUAGCUGCCAAAGAUGGCUCUCUCGUCGUGCCGAUUGAACAUGAUCCCUGAUCUCUCGGCGGACUGCCGACUUUCUGCCGUCGCUCGUCGUUUCCAUGUUGUCGGCCCCGCAAGGGGACAAGUGACCGUAAUGGCAGUGUUUACCAGGACCAGGACCAGGUUCCUGCGGCAACGGCACAGCUUUCUGCUUUGAGAAUGGUGAUGCAGUUCUGCAGCAGUUAUCUCUAGGACAGGGCUUGGAUCAGAUCUGCUUUGACUUUGGAAUCUUGCUGGCGUUGUUCUUCGCCUUCUUCAUUUCCGGACUUCUGAUACUGGUGUUGCGUAUCCGCUACAUCAAGCGCUAAUGUCUGCCAGGCGCAAUGCGUUGACGUGUCACUCUGAGGUGCUAAACCUGACUUCAUGAUGGUGCUGUUCUAGUGUUGAGAUGAUUCUGUAUUCCGCUAUGUUUGUCAGUGUCUUUCAUGUUACUAUUUUGUUAGUCAUACAGCCCAUAUACACUCAUUAAUGUCAACUUCAGUAGUGGACAUUCCCAGACAAGUAUUCUGCCUGUCAUGUGUGUGUGUGUGUGUGUGUGUGUGU